CGUUCAACUCGUGGAAACACGUUUUUCCGAGCCGCCUUUGAACGCACCAUGAGCAGGCGGAGCCAGGUGGCAAACACCAGUGUCGUGUUGUAAUUUCAAUCACAGAGACGUUGAUUCAGAUCUGUUUCAAGCAUGUUGAGCAAACCAGCAGCCAAGAGGCAAAAGACUUUACCUUGUUUUUUCCAAACAAACCCUUGAUGCCAGCCCCUCCUGCAUCAGUGACCACUUCUGGACAAUGGACCUCUACUGCACCAGUGAUGCCAGCCUCUAAUGCACCAGUGAACGCUCCUUGACCAGUAACCUCUACUGCAACAGUGACCUCUUCUGGACCGCAACAGCGGCAGCGACCCGCCCACAAAGCUACUUCCGUUUUGGGCACUUCACACAAGGACCUCGGGGACAAAGACAUGGGUCCUUGGUGCGGGAGGUGAUAUGAUCAGCAGGAGGUGUUAUGACACCGCAGGGCCCUCGGGGGCCCGGCCCCAGGAAUUGGACUGGACUGAUCUGCUGCCCACAGGACGGCUGCUAUCGGCUCAUCUCUGCUGAGAAUGAGAUCCCUCAACCGACCUUCACCAGAUCCCUAUCUCCGUGCUCCAGAGGACUGCACCCAGGCAUCAGACCGUACGGGUCUAUCUACAGUGGACAUCACUCCUCCCCGGGGACCCGUUCUGAUGGGAAGAUCUGGUUCCACACCAGCACUAAACCCCGGCCCCCAGGAAGCUUCUGGGUCCCUCUUGAUUGAAAACCGCCCGGAGAGGUAUCACUUCACACGCCGGAUGCACGAACAGAGUGACGAACAGACGUAGCCAUAACACCUCGCGACGGAAUAUGUUGUUUCAUUUAUGUGUGUUUAUUUUUCGCCGUUUCAUUUUGUACAGUAUCCAGAUAUUGUCUGGAUAGGUUUGAUUUUUAUUGUUAUUUAAUUCCUUUUGCGGCCUUUGUACUUUAUGCUGCUACACUCACAUUUCCCGCCUCGGAAUAAUGAAUAAAUUACAUCUUGUGUGAACUUAAAUAUCAUGGGUCUUAGUUAUUAGUGGAUUUUGAUGCUUCCACUGGCGGAAUUUAGGAAAUUUGUGGGUUUAAGACUUCAGAAAUGCAAUAUCAUACACUUAUCAUGACGCUUUUGACUUCUGUUGUGUCAAACCGAAAACCCUAGUGAAAUCAUUGUAGUCGCAGGCAGCAACAGAAACAUUCUCAUAAAGUGUGAAGACCAAGACUUUUAUUGAUUUUAUUUCUAGAGAUUUAUUCAUUUCAGCUUCAUAAUAAACUUGGUUUAUUUCAGGCCCAUAACAUUUGGAUAUGAUUGGACUCAAAUCCAUGUGAAAAAAC
ensembl:lncRNA